rnacentral:rRNA from 1 species
AUUGAACGCUGGCGGCAUGCCUUACACAUGCAAGUCGAACGGCAGCACGGGGCAACCUGGUGGCGAGUGGCGAACGGGUGAGUAAUGCAUCGGAACGUACCUUUCAGUGGGGGAUAACGUAGCGAAAGUUACGCUAAUACCGCAUAUUCUGUGAGCAGGAAAGCAGGGGAUCGCAAGACCUUGCGCUGAUUGAGCGGCCGAUGUCAGAUUAGCUAGUUGGUGAGGUAAAGGCUCACCAAGGCGACGAUCCGUAGCGGGUCUGAGAGGAUGAUCCGCCACACUGGGACUGAGACACGGCCCAGACUCCUACGGGAGGCAGCAGUGGGGAAUUUUGGACAAUGGGGGCAAACCUGAUCCAGCCAUGCCGCGUGAGUGAAGAAGGCCUUCGGGUUGUAAAGCUCUUUCGGCUGGGAAGAAAUCGCAUCUCCUAAUACGGGGUGUGGAUGACGGUACCAGCAUAAGAAGCACCGGCUAACUACGUGCCAGCCGCCGCGGUAACAC